UACUGCAGGUGCUUUGCGCGGAGCCAUUUCCCUCCCUGGCUGCCUGACGUGGACAGGUGAAGAAGUCGGUUGGUGAAUUUACAGGUAGCAUUCAGCCAUCAGUGGCCAGCCCAGUGACAGCGGAGGAGAAACGGAACGGCUUAUCACAGCUGAAGCCACUGUCAUGGCAAGCACGUCCUAUCUGCCAUAGUAAUUACGAUGGCUGCUCUGUCAAGGAGACUUGCUCGCCCGAGGCGGGAAAACAGUGAUUCAUCCACCUUGCAUGUAUUGACUACUUCAGCAAGGUUUAGAAGCUCUGAGUAUCCUGAAAAUGAACUGACUUCCGUCAGAAUUUACAGAUCGGUCUGCAUCAGGAAGAACUUCACGCUCUGAUCGUGUCAUCCUACGCUUCGUUCAGUUUCAUGCUUGGAAAGAAGUCUACUGUUUCUCAGAUUUCAUUCUUCUACUAGUUCCAUCUAUUCUGGUGUCCGAAACAAUAAUUGUAACUGUCGACCAGGUGGAUGUAAAUG